rnacentral:lncRNA from 1 species
GGAUGCUGCUGGGGUCUUGCUUUGCAAACCUUCCUCUUGCCAUUGCCAUUAUCUGCAAAUGCCUAACAUACAGGUGGUGGGAUGCAAGGGGGUGCACCAAGGAGGAACAGCAGCAGAGGGGUCCCAGCAAAAGCAAAGGGGGAAUCCCCCCCCUGCUCCCCCCCAUGGGCAGGUUUCAGUGGCAGCAUUCUUGGGCACAGGCUUGGACGUGUGCCUGCCCCUCAUUCAGAUGCAAUGUACUGAUUUACAGGAGGAGGACAGGGGGGAAAAAAAAAUGGAAACGGAGAAAGCGAACCCUCAGAAAUUCAAUUAAAGCUGCUGCCGCCUUUAGAAAGCGAGCGAUACUCACUUUGAAUGUGGAUGGAAAUCAGCCAUGGCCUCACCCGAAAUGUGAAGGAUUCGUGGGCUUUGCUGCGAGCCCCUCGCCCAGGGGAGCUGAGAAGAGCCCACCGCUCCCCAUCACUCUCACAUAAUGAGGAUUCCAUUUUUAAAAAUUAAUGACUUUGUGGCCGCAGAGGUCCACGCGGGGCGGAAGGGCUGAUGCUGUUGGGACCACGUUUUUGCCCACAGUCCCCCCGGUGCUUCGGCACAGAUGAGCCGGAGACACUUCACCACUUCCAAUCCUCUUUUAUGGAGCGCGGUACUUGUUGCCAUCUGCUCCCAAAUGCUCAGCGCGAAUCGGCAUUCACUUUUACGGUUUUAAUUAACCUAAUAACAAGCGGUGCGUGCUGGGCUGGGGACAGGCAGGCAGCAGCGCUGCGCUUCUUCCCUUCCAGUUGAAGCCUUUGAUUUUGGGUCAGAACCCAACUCUGAGCGCUGGGUGGAGCUUCAUUCACCCUUCAUUCAGUGCCGAAUGGCCACGGCUAAUUCAGUUAGCCUUGAAUUAAUGAGCUAAACACGAUGUACCACAAAGAUUAUUUUCCUGCUCCCCCUAGAAGCACGCAUGGGCCCCUACACCCCACAGCUAUCCCAUAUCCCACCCUGGGGCUCCAAUCACAUCUUUAUUCCCUCCAUGUCCAAUGGAGCACGGCAGCUGGGCUCACCCUGCUGCCUCCAACCCGCAGCAUCUCGGUCCCCUUCGCUUCGGCUCCAAGGAGACUUUAAUUUCAUGUGGUUUUCAUUUCCUCACGGGGCUGUAAAGAUGUUU